rnacentral:rRNA from 1 species
UACGGAGGGGGGCUAGCGUUGUUCGGAAUUACUGGGCGUAAAGCGCGCGUAGGCGGCUUUGUAAGUUAGAGGUGAAAGCCCGGAGCUCAACUCCGGAAUUGCCUUUAAGACUGCAUCGCUAGAAUCAUGGAGAGGUGAGUGGAAUUCCCGAGUGUAGAGGUGAAAUUCGUAGAUAUUCGGAAGAACACCAGUGGCGAAGGCGACUCACUGGACAUGUAUUGACGCUGAGGUGCGAAAGCGUGGG